rnacentral:tRNA from 2 species
GCUGGUGUGGCUCAGUGGUAGAGCAGCGCUUUCGUAAAGCGCGGGUCGGCGGUUCAAAUCCGCCCACCAGCU